rnacentral:rRNA from 1 species
UACAGAGGUCUCAAGCGUUGUUCGGAUUCAUUGGGCGUAAAGGGUGCGUAGGCGGCGCGGUAAGUCGGGUGUGAAAUCUUGGAGCUUAACUCCGAAACUGCAUUCGAUACUGCCGUGCUUGAGGACUGGAGAGGAGACUGGAAUUUACGGUGUAGCGGUGAAAUGCGUAGAUAUCGUAAGGAAGACCAGUGGCGAAGGCGGGUCUCUGGACAGUUCCUGACGCUGAGGCACGAAGGUCAGGGGGGAGCAAACGGG